GUCGCAAGAUUAAAACUCAAAGGAAUUGACGGGGACCCGCACAAGCGGUGGAUGAUGUGGAUUAAUUCGAUGCAACGCGAAAAACCUUACCUACCCUUGACAUGUCCGGAAUCCUGAAGAGAUUUGGGAGUGCUCGCAAGAGAGCCGGAACACAGGUGCUGCAUGGCUGUCGUCAGCUCGCGUCGUGAGAUGUUGGGUUAAGUCCCGCAACGAGCGCAACCCUUAUCCUUAGUUGCCAUCAUUCAGUUGGGCACUCUAAUGAGACUGCCGGUGACAAACCGGAGGAAGGUGGGGAUGACGUCAAGUCCUCAUGGCCCUUAUGGGUAGGGCUUCACACGUCAUACAAUGGUCGGUACAGAGGGUUGCCAACCCGCGAGGGGGAGCUAAUCUCACAAAGCCGAUCGUAGUCCGGAUCGCAGUCUGCAACUCGACUGCGUGAAGUCGGAAUCGCUAGUAAUCGUGGAUCAGCAUGUCACGGUGAAUACGUUCCCGGGUCUUGUACACACCGCCCGUCACACCAUGGGAGUGGGUUUCACCAGAAGUAGGUAGUCUAACUGCAAGG
rnacentral:rRNA from 1 species